GAUGAACGCUAGCGGCAGGCUUAACACAUGCAAGUCGAGGGGUAGAGGAAGCUUGCUUCCUUGAGACCGGCGCACGGGUGCGUAACGCGUAUGCAAUCUACCUUAUACAGGGGGAUAGCCCAGAGAAAUUUGGAUUAAUACCCCAUAGUAUAAUUGAAUGGCAUCAUUUAAUUAUUAAAGUUCCAACGGUAUAAGAUGAGCAUGCGUCCCAUUAGCUAGUUGGUGUGGUAACGGCACACCAAGGCGACGAUGGGUAAGGGUCCUGAGAGGGAGAUCCCCCACACUGGUACUGAGACACGGACCAGACUCCUACGGGAGGCAGCAGUGAGGAAUAUUGGUCAAUGGGCGCAAGCCUGAACCAGCCAUGCCGCGUGCAGGAUGACGGUCCUAUGGAUUGUAAACUGCUUUUGUACAGGAAGAAACACUCCCUCGUGAGGGAGCUUGACGGUACUGUAAGAAUAAGGAUCGGCUAACUCCGUGCCAGCAGCCGCGGUAAU
rnacentral:rRNA from 1 species